UUUUGCCUAUAAAAGGCGUAAAUUUUGUAGAAGGAAGACAGAGUGAGAAAAAUCAACCAACCUCAAAACAUACCUGAAAUGUGUAAACUCUUCCUUCCAACAAACCUAUCCAAGUCAGUCUUUUUUGUAUAAACUUUUGUAUAAGUGUGUUUGAAUAAAAACUCCAAGUUUUCUAUUCGAUCUUAAGGGGGUUCCCGAAAGGGAAACCUCUCUCCUAGUUACUUCAUGUAAGUUCUUAUUUACAUAUUUUUCC
rnacentral:lncRNA from 1 species